rnacentral:rRNA from 1 species
UACGAAGGGGGCUAGCGUUGCUCGGAAUCACUGGGCGUAAAGCGCACGUAGGCGGCUUACUAAGUCAGGGGUGAAAUCCUGGAGCUCAACUCCAGAACUGCCUUUGAUACUGAAGAUCUUGAGUUCGGGAGAGGUGAGUGGAACUGCGAGUGUAGAGGUGAAAUUCGUAGAUAUCGGAGGAACACCAGUGGCGAAGGCGGCGACUGGGCCAGGAUAGUGACGCUGAGGGUGCGAAAGCGUGGG